CCUACGGGUGGCAGCAGUGAGGAAUAUUGGUCAAUGGCCGGAAGGCUGAACCAGCCAUGCCGCGUGGGUGAAGAAGGGCCUAGGCGCGUAAAGCCCUGUCAGCAGGGGAGAAAAUGACGGCACCUGAAGCAGAAGCCCCGGCUAACUUCGUGCCAGCAGACGCGGUAAUACGGAGGGGGCAAGCGUUAUCCGGAUUUACUGGGUGUAAUGGGGGCGCAGAGGGGGAUGCAAGCCAGGAGUGAAAGCCUGAGGCCCAACCCCGGGACUGCCCUUGGAACUGGGUGGCUGGAGUGCAGGAGGGGCAGGCGGAAUUCCUGGUGUAGCGGUGAAAUGCGUAGAUAUCAGGAGGAACACCGGUGGCGAAGGCGGCCUGCUGGACUGCAACUGACGUUGAGGCCCGAAAGCGUGGGGAGCAAACAGGAUUAGAUACCCUUGUAGUC
rnacentral:rRNA from 1 species